UUCUUUGUGCGAAGGAGUGAAGCGAGAGGUUGCCAGCCAGGAGAAGAUGCAAGCAAGCAACUUGAUCUAGAUGGUAUAGGGCAAGAAGCAGCAUGAAAUCAGCGAUGCAGAGAGAAAGGCAAAGAAAAGCAAAAUCAAGAAGCAGAGGCGUAUGGCUUAGAGAGGCAGAUAGGCGUUGAAUCAUGAUGAGGUUUGAAAAUCUCAACCUCCUCUACAUAUAUAAGAAAAACUGAGGAAUCCAAACGGAGAGGGGUCAGAGUUUUAAGGGAGGUGGAAAUUGGAGAGGAGCCAGAGUUUGGAUGCACUCUAAGCUUGGAGAAGCAAUAGAAUUUGAGAGACGAAGCUCUAGUGAAGAAUGAUCAAAGCACUCAUAGAAGAGGAGCAGGAUCAAGGUAUAGUUCUAUCAAAUUUUAGGCUUCUCGACACUUGGGAAUCAAACAUUAGAGGUGCAUGCUAACCUUGGAAAUUUGCUGAGGUCACAUCUUGUGCUUACUUGUGAAGGGUGUUUUGUAUAAAUAGAUUUGGCAUCUCUUUUUGAUUGAGACACCACGCAUACAUGGUCUCAGGCUACCACAGCAGGCAGAUCGAGAAGACGAGUGAGAUAUUGCAAAAAGAACUCAAGGUGGCAGAGAAGAGAGAAGACGAGUGAAGGACGAGAACUUGGACUGGAACGACGAGCUAAGCAACCACAGAAG